rnacentral:misc_RNA from 1 species
GGAGGAAAAAAAAUAUUAAUACUGAGAUUAAUCAUAAUUGGGAACAAUAACCCAGCAAGCCAAUCCUACAAAGUAUGAAAACAAAAACACACCCUUGAAGCUGCCCAUCAGCAGUCAUUUUUGGUGACAAAAAAUAUUGUUUCAAUCCUCCCAAUUUUAUUCCAUCAUCCCCACUUGUUUUCCAGGUUAAAAAUAACCCAAUGACAGAUCAAUCAUGAUUUGGCGUUACAUCCAUUCAACACGUGUCAACAACCCAGACUGUGGCCCACCCAAUGUUGACAACAUCAGAUCACCAUGUUUUGUUUUUUUUGGUCUGAAAUUUGAUGAUCAAAUUCAAAAAUAUCUACAAACCUUGAAUUAAAGAACUGAAGGCGUAAUUAAUCAGUUAACCCAAAGCACUAAAUCCACCACCUUUCAUCAUUUGCUUAAACUCCUUGAAAUUGACCAUUCCAUCACCAUCAACAUCCACCUUCAUGAUCAUAGUCUUGCAAUCUUCUAAAGUCCUCCCUUGUUUAACCCCAAGAGCAGCCAACACAGAUCUCAACUCAUCAACACUAAUAUACCCAUCACCAUUUUGAUCAAACACAUUGAAGGCUUCUUUCAUGUCCUCCUCCUCGUCACGCUCAUCCAUAAUAGAUUGAUACAAAGCACCGAACUCAUCAAUGUCGACACACCCAUCACCAUUAACAUCUAUAUUCUGUAUCAUCUGGGUCAACUCCAGAUCAGGGAUAAAGAUACCCAGAUUCUCCAACGAGUCAUUCAACUCCUUCUUGGUGAUGCGACCAUCCCCAUUUCUAUCAAACAUCUGGAAAACGCGUGCGAGCUCUACUGAGUCCAUUCUUUUUCUGACAACGGCAGCGGCGGAGGAGGAGGAGGAGGGGGGAAGUGUUUGUUGUUUAAAGAGGGAAUUGCCUUGGUGGGAGCACCAAGAAGAAGGAAGAAAGAAGGUCCUGAGCUUCUUGGGGAUCAAAUAGAGAAGGAAAGAAUUAAGAAGAUUGUAAAGAAGGAAAAUAGUUAGCAAAAUAGUUGGCAUUUAGAGGAGUGUGGAGAGAUUGGUGUGUUGGGUGAUGUUUGUUAUUUGUUGAGAAGAUUUUGGAGACUAAUUUUGGUCCCUUUCUUGCAUUGGGUAGCAAGGCAUGUUGGAUCCCAAAUAUAUAAAAUAAAUAAAUUAUUAGGUCUUGGGUGUGUUGUCUUUAUUCUUUAGAGCUGGUUUUGGCUUUUGCUUUUUGCUUUUGGCUUUUUGCUUUUGGUUGCUUGCUUGGACUUUGCAC